rnacentral:rRNA from 1 species
UACGUAGGGUGCGAGCGUUGUCCGGAAUUAUUGGGCGUAAAGAGCUCGUAGGCGGUUCGUCGCGUCGGCUGUGAAAACCCGGAGCUCAACUCCGGGCCUGCAGUCGAUACGGGCGGACUUGAGUGUUGCAGGGGAGACUGGAAUUCCUGGUGUAGCAGUGAAAUGCGCAGAUAUCAGGAGGAACACCGAUGGCGAAGGCAGGUCUCUGGGCAUUAACUGACGCUGAGGAGCGAAAGCAUGGGGAGCGAACAGG